rnacentral:rRNA from 1 species
GACGAACGCUGGCGGCGUGCCUAAUACAUGCAAGUCGAACGCAGUGGGGACGGGUGAGUAACACGUGGGUAACCUCCCAUCAGAGGGGAUAACACUUGGAAACAGGUGCUAAACCGAUACUGAUGGAUGGACCCGCGGUGCAUUAGCUAGUUGGUGAGGUAACGGCUCACCAAGGCCACGAUGCAGAGCCGACCUGGUAGGGUGUGCGGCCACACUGGGACUGGGCCACGGCCCAGACUCCUACGGGAGGCAGCAGUAGGGAAUCUGCGGCGAUGGAGGAGAGUCUGACCGAGCAACGCCGGGUGCGGGAAGAAGGUUUUCGGAUCGUAAAACUCUGUUGUUAGAGAAGCGGUAUCUAACCAGAAAGCCACGGCUAACGACGUGCCGGCAGCCGCGGUAAUAC